rnacentral:rRNA from 1 species
GAUGAACGCUGGCGGCGUGCCUAAUACAUGCAAGUCGAGCGAACAGAUGAGAAGCUUGCUUCUCUGAUGUUAGCGGCGGACGGGUGAGUAACACGUGGGUAACCUGCCCAUCAGAGGGGGAUAACACUUGGAAACAGGUGCUAAUACCGCAUAAUUCUUUUUGUCGCAUGAUAGAAAGAUGAACGGCGCUUUUGCGUCACUGAUGGAUGGACCCGCGGUGCAUUAGCUAGUUGGUAGGGUAAUGGCUUACCAAGGCAACGAUGCAUAGCCGACCUGAGAGGGUGAUCGGCCACACUGGGACUGAGACACGGCCCAGACUCCUACGGGAGGCAGCAGUAGGGAAUCUUCGGCAAUGGACGAAAGUCUGACCGAGCAACGCCGCGUGAGUGAAGAAGGUUUUCGGAUCGUAAAACUCUGUUGUUAGAGAAGAACAAGGAUGAGAGUAAAAUGUUCAUCCCUUGACGGUAUCUAACCAGAAAGCCACGGCUAACUACGUGCCAGCCGCCGCUGUAA